GGGCUCAUGUCCAGCAACUGUUCCGACUAUGACCCUUGAAUUGUCAACUCCAACUCCAGCAGCCAUGAUGAAGGUGAUCCUAUGCGUACUGUUGAUUGCUGGUCUGUCUGGCGUACUGGCCGACCCCGUCAUCAAGAAGAGGGCGGGCCAGCAGAGCCACUGCUACACCAGUGAAGGUGUCUUCAGCCAUGGGCAGGUGUUCAACACCGCCAGAUACCCCUGCCUCAAGUACAGGUGCGAGUUUGGCAUGGCGAGAGUAUAUGAAAUAGGAUGCCCUCACGAUGGUUCGUGCCACCGUAUUGGAAGCACGUGGUCCGCCAGUGACUGCCACACCUACACCUGCAACAAACGGUCAUACACCUCGUACGACAUUCAGAGACUGCGGUCAGGGUGCCGCGAUGCGAGUGGUAGAUGCCGCCGCCCCGGAGAACGAUUCCCCUACCACGUCCACGGCCACAUCUACCAAGACUGCACCUGCACCACCACUCCAACUGCCAUCAGCUACAGCUGCAACAACUCACGCCGCGGUACCCAGUAGGACCGAAUCAAGGGCAGGCAGCAAUAGCAGGCAGAGGGAGGGGAGGGGAAAAUAGAGACUUACGGGAAAUAUUAGGGAGGGUUCUUUGGGGAAAGGGGUAGAUUGGUUUGCGGGGAACGUACGCCCGAGAGGAAUUUAGCGAUGUUGAUUCGGCUCUAGAGUAAUAUGCGACACAUUGAAGUGUAUGGGAAGAGGUGCAGAUUUCGGAAAAUGUCAAACCAUGCCAAACGAAAAUGAUGCAUGAAAUGCUAGAUGGCUGAUUUUCGGAUCCGAAAGUCAGCACCAACUAGCUGGAGCAUUUGUGAUCAACUCGUGUUAUUCCGGAGCAAGCCGAAUAGCGAGAUUUCUUGGAGGUUACCAUUCGUAACUACUCGCCUCUUUCUGCGACCCACGCCAUCCGGCUUAUCCGGAAUUACUUCAGUAGUAGGAAAAUGGCAGGUUACGGAAAGGGGCGACUGGUGACGAAUGCUAGAGAUGCGACGGUGACCUUGAAUUAGCAUACUUCUGGUAAGCGAGCAGACGACUGAAAGAGGGCGUCAGGGUUUGGAAGGUGGAAACGUAAUAAUGAAAAACAAUGAAUAGAAUAACUUAACAUGACCCAGUCCGGUGAAUGAAGGUAAUCCACCUUGGCUACAUAUAUAUAAUAUACCAAAAUUGCCUGAUGAGUAUUCAGUUUCCUGUUUCUAUGCUGUCUGUUUUCCCGACUGCCAAAUUGUAAUAAAUACAUUUCAUUACCCUGUCA
rnacentral:misc_RNA from 1 species